UUGAGGAGUUUCUGCCCCGAGUGCAAGGGAGGAGACGCUUCGACGCCAGUGGUCCUUGGCUCCAGCCAUCUGGCCUCUAGAGAAUGAUCUCUCCACCAGCGAUGGGGAAGUAAUUCUGGUGAGGAAACUGAAACACAGAGAGGUUAAGGAACUUGCUCAAGGUCACACAGCUUGUAAGUGAUAGAGGCACAAUGUGAACUCCAGCCGUGCUGCCCCCAGCCUGGGAGGACCUCAAGAACAGGUUAUGAUUUAAAUUGACUGAGUCUGGUAAUUUGGGGCCUCCCCGGGAAGCAGUGAUACCAGGUGGCUCUGAGGAGACAGUUCCAGCAAGAUGAUGGCCCUUGCUCAACAGCCUGAAGAAGAUGCCAAGGCCCAAGGCAAGAGGGCAGCAUUUGGGUUUAAGAACGCUAUCAGAUGGGGGCGCCUGGCUGGCUCAGUCGGUUAAUCAUCCAACUCUUGAUUUCAGCUCAAGUCAUG